rnacentral:rRNA from 1 species
CCUACGGGGGGCAGCAGUGGGGAAUAUUGGACAAUGGGGGAAACCCUGAUCCAGCGACGCCGCGUGAGUGAAGAAGUAUUUCGGUACGUAAAGCUCUAUCAGCAGGAAAGAAAAUGACGGUACCUGACUAAGAAGCCCCGGCUAACUACGUGCCAGCAGCCGCGGUAAUACGUAGGGGGCAAGCGUUAUCCGGAUUUACUGGGUGUAAAGGGAGCGUAGACGGCAGCGCAAGUCUGGAGUGAAAUGCCGGGGCUCAACCCCGGAACUGCUCUGGAAACUGUGAAGCUGGAGUGCAGGAGAGGUAAGCGGAAUUCCUGGUGUAGCGGUGAAAUGCGUAGAUAUCAGGAGGAACACCGGCGGCGAAGGCGGCUUACUGGACUGUAACUGACGUUGAGUCUCGAAGGCGUGGGGAGCAAACAGGAUUAGAUACCCCAGUAGUC